rnacentral:lncRNA from 1 species
GGGGAAGAUCUGUUAACCCGCUUGCAGGAGAAAUGCUGGGACCAGCAGAUGUGCGCAGCUGGGAGGGAAGCCCCCUCCCUGACCACAGCCCCCAGCAGUGCCCGCCGGGAGCAGGGAGAGAGGGGCGCAGGGCUCCGGAGUGUGGCCUGAUGGCUGUGUGCAAAGACCUUCUCCAGGGCCUGCCAGGCCCCAGGACAGGCCCUGCCCUUGUGGACUCACAGGGAAUUAGAAGAAAUUCAUUCAAAGAAUUAAAAAAAAAUUUUUAAUGAGUCGGCUGCCGGCUAACUGCCCCGAG